rnacentral:tRNA from 1 species
GUGGCUCAGUGGUAGAGUGCUUGCCUCGCAUGCAUGAGGUCCUGGGUUUGAUUCCUAGC